GUUGCUGUAGUUUCCAGAGACUUUAGGACGAAUAGUGGUGGUCCUAAAGUGAUAAAUUCGCAACUCUCAUAAUUUACGGACUCAGAUAGUCCGCUCUGGUAUAUUGGCUUAACUUAUUUUUAAAUUUCAGCAUUAGCAGAUCAUCGUGUGGGGUGAUCGUUAGGAUUGGGGGUUGUCAUUGCUUGGCAACCAUUGCUUGUGCUAGAAAAUUUAGGAAUUAUUUGCUCU
rnacentral:lncRNA from 1 species